UGUGGGAGCGGGCUUGCUCGCGAAGGCGGAGUGUCAGUCGACAUUUAUUUGACUGAUCUACUGCAUUCGCGAGCAAGCCCGCUCCCACA
rnacentral:misc_RNA from 1 species